rnacentral:misc_RNA from 1 species
UGACAUUUCAUCAAACAAACAAACUACAAGAAAAAAACCCUAAACAAUGGUGACCUUCGCCCCUACCCCCUCGAGCUGCUUCUUCGCCUCCUCCGCCUCCUCCUUCGUCACCGCCUCCCUAAACUUCUUCGGCAGCCCCUCAAUCAAAUCCUUCGCCUCCUUCAGCGCUAGGUUCGUCAGCGCCCUAAUCACCUUAAUCGUCGCAAUCCUCGCGCUGGUCGGCACCUCGUCGAUCACAACAUCGAACUCCGUCUUCUCCUCCACCACCGCCGGCCCUGCCGCCUCGACGCCCGGGGCGGCGGCGACGGCCGCCGGGGCGAAGGCGGCGGCGGAGACCCCGAGGCGGUCCUGAAGGAAGUCGACGAGGUUGCGGGCUUCUUCUAGGGUGAGGGUGGAGAUCUGGGCGCCGAGCUCCUCGAUCUUGGGGGAGGCAGCGGCGGAGAGGGGAGGGACGGCAGCGGCGCGGCGGGAGGGGAAGCGGAGGCUGUGGGGGGCGGAGAGAGAGGGUUGAGAGGGGAGCGAGGGCUUGGAGGAGGAGGUGAUGAAGGAGAGGGAGGCGAGCGUGGCUGCCAUUUUUGUUCUCUGUUGGGAGAGAGGAGUGAGGGG